UACGUAGGGUGCAAGCGUUAAUCGGAAUUACUGGGCGUAAAGCGUGCGCAGGCGGUUCUGUAAGUCUGACGUGAAAUCCCCGGGCUCAACCUGGGAAUUGCGUUGGAGACUGCAAGGCUAGAAUCUGGCAGAGGGGGGUAGAAUUCCACGUGUAGCAGUGAAAUGCGUAGAUAUGUGGAGGAACACCGAUGGCGAAGGCAGCCCCCUGGGUCAAGAUUGACGCUCAUGCACGAAAGCGUGGGGAGCAAACAGG
rnacentral:rRNA from 1 species